UGCUUGUGUUUUGUAAAUAAGUUCAUUUGAACACAACUGAUCUUAAGUUCAUGAAAUAAAGCAGGUUGGCGGCUUUUAGAUUUGCUGUUGGUUACCUCAAAGUUUCCCUACAGGGCAUAAAAGGAAGGUAGUUCAGGGAAAGAGUGUAAAGAAGUUUCAUCACCGGGCAAGACCAGGGCAGGAGCACUAACACUGAAGCACUGACCUGCAGGGACAUUAGACCGAUUCAGGGCAGCGCUCUCCCCGAGGCCACAGGCAAGCUCAUCCAAGGUCUCCCUCCCACCCCAGCUGACCCACCUGCUUGCAGCUCUGAGCCCCCAGGGCUCCCUGCUGCCCUUGGGAGAGGGCCUGCUCCAGGCCGGCCUCAGGAGGGCCCUCAAGCACUGGGUGGGAGCAGAGGGUCGGGGCUCCUCCAGGAGGCCCUCCUGCAGAACCCGCCCCGUCUGCCCUCAGCCUGGAGUCUUUAAGAGAGAGCCCCACUUCCCUCCUGUCACAUCUGUUCCGAAGCCCAGUCUCACUCACGGCCACAGGCAUGCUGCGGGGGCCAGCCCUGCUUCUCGUUUUCCUGGCUCCUGUCACUCAGGUGUCUUCCAACACGGACGGGGACAAGACGUCAGUCAGUAGGAAGAUGGGAUCGUCUUUUGAAAUGACUUGUGAUCUUAAUACACAAAGUGCCUACUAUAUCCACUGGUAUAAAUUCCGGGAGGGGACGGCCCCACGACGCCUCUUCUACUAUGAUGUCUACUACAAAACGACUUCGUACGACUCAGGAAUCAAUCGAAAGAAAUACCGUGCUUAUGAAGGAGCAGGGAAGAAUAAUAUACUUGUCAUCUCAGAUCUGGAAGACAGUGAUUCUGGCAUGUACUACUGUGCCAUUUGGGAGGAGCAGCACGGUAGUUGAGACGUGCUUUGUGCUGCGCUGGAAAUUGUGCUGUGGCUGCCAAGAGCAGCCCUGGUGCACAGGACACAGCAGCCCCUGCCCACUUCCUGUCCCAACCUCCCAGUCCUCUGAGCAAACAGAGGCCCUGAGCUCAGGGCCCAUCCCCCAGCCCCUAGAUGCCACAGCCACCUGUCUC